GGAUCCUGCUAAAGAUAGAGACUUAGGCUUCGUUUGGGAUUGCGGGGAGAUUGCGUUACGUGCGGUGCGAAAGUACGUUGAAAAAAUAUCCUGUUUGUUUCCGUACGUAAUAUUACGUUCCGUAUAUCGCGAUGAGUCGGUUACAAUAUAUUUUCUGCGGUCCCACCGGAGAACGAGAAGUAUAUCUCUAUAUGCUUUUUUUACAACUCCAUUUUAUCUAAUGGCGUUACAUAGGCCUCAAUACCAAACUAAACCCUAAUUAUAUGACUCAACACAGGUAGAUAACCAUUUAAGUUGACGCUUAGUACUCAAAUUCCCCAGCUAAUUAA
rnacentral:lncRNA from 1 species